rfam:Medicago truncatula strain A17 chromosome 5, whole genome shotgun sequence.
AUAUAAGUAAAAUUGAAUUUUUUGAUUCAUUCAAUUAGUGAUGUAUGUGGUCUAUAAUAUGAACCACAUACAUCAUUAAUUGAAUGAACCUAAAAAGUCAAUUUUACUUAUAU